UAUAGGGAUAUCAUCCUGUAUAUUACUACCUGGGUCAUGGUCUCCCUCCUCCCCAGGUUGACCAGGCUGCUGCAGGUCUCCUGGCCCUGGGUCUGAAGAGAGGGGACAGACUAGGAGUCUGGGGGCCCAACACAUACCACUGGAUCCUGUUUCAGUUCGCCACAGCCAAGGCUGGCAUCAUACUGGUGUCAAUAAACCCAGCCUAUCAGCUGAAGGAGCUGGAGUACACCCUGGGGAAGGUGCAGUGUAAAGCUGUGGUGUGUCCCACCCAGUUUAAGACCCAGUGGUUCUGUCUGUCUCUGUAGGUGCAGUGUAAAGCAGUGGUGUGUCCCACCCAGUUUAAGACCGAGGUUCUGUGACAUGCUGAGACAGAUCUGCCCAGAGAUGGACACAGCGGAGUCAGGGGUCUUUAGGAGCUCCUGACUACCAGACCUGUGUAUGGUGAUUGUAACAGACAGCAGACAGACAGGGACUGUACAUGUAGAGGAUGUGAUGCAGGCUGGAAGCAGACAGCACCACCAGGAGCUGCAGGACCUGCAGACCAAACUGUCCUUUG